UGCAGACCUAUUGCAUCAGACAAAAAAAAAAAAAAGAGUCACAUGUGCUUGACAGCUUCCGGCCAAUCAGUGACUACUCCAGUUAAUCCAGGCAGAGGUUGAUAGGCAGAGGGUUCUCUGGUUUUAUUUAGCUUCACGAAAGAUGCCCGGAUGAGUUCCAGGUUCUAGACCAACUCUGCUAACGUCUUUUCCGGAAAACUUGCACAUAUCACAAUUAAACAGCCUUAAUAGUUACAAGCUUGUUCUUGCCUCACCUCGCUUCUCUCCCCAUGUCCGGUCAACUACGGAAAAGUCUUUCCUCGAUUCUUACAGGGUAGAGACCCUUUAGUGCAUCUUUAUCUCCACGGAACCCAGCGCAAUGCCUUACACGUGGAGAAACUGACAACCCUACCUCCAGCUUGAGGCUGCCCACUCCCUUCUAUCAGAGAAACACAGUAACAAAGGAAGUUCAUGUUGCCAUCCUUGGACAAUGAAGGAGGAACCAUCUAAAAAUAACAUGGGUCAGGAAAAGCUGCCAGGAUGGGGGGUUGGGGGGGGAUGACUUUGAUCCCACCUCUCCCUCAGAAUUGGAAUGAGGUGUCCAUUCUCCUACCACACUGUGUGGUUUGGGGUAUUACAUUUUAUGUGGAAUUGUUAACCUCAGCACUAAAAUGGAGUUCGUUUAUUUCCUAAAUUCUCCUUGAAUAGCUCUUAAAUUAUCCAUAAACACUUGUAUAUGCAACCCUACGUCAGUUUUUCUGUCUCUUCAAUAAGGCAUUGUUGCUCUGUGGUUCUCAAUUGUCUUCUUUAAGGUUUAGACCAAGUCUUCUUGCCUAGUCACCUGUUUCACUUCUUUGUCAGUGAUUGGGAAACCCUUAAAAUCAUUCACGUAUUUCCCCCCACACACUUUCAAUCUUGGUCAUGUCUGUUGUUUGAUGCAUUGGAAUACUACACAAUAUAUGGUUGAAUUCAUGUAAGUUAACUGUGGUAUUCCCAUGUCAUUGUUUCUUCACCAUGAAGUCCUCAGUGGGUGAGCUAGGGAAAGUUUCACAGCGGGGCGAUUUUGAAGGCUGGGUGGGGGUCUAGCAGGUUAAAAGGAAGGGGUGAAGGCAGAGGCAUAGGCCAAAACAGGGAGGCAUGAAAGAGCUUAUAAGUAAGGGGCAGUUAAAAGUUGUGUGGUUAGAGUAGAAGCAAUGUGGGCAGAAAGGGGCAGGUAGGCUGUUAGGGAUUUACAUGCCACAUUAGUAAUUCUGUUGGAGACACAGUUUCUUCAUUUAUUAUAAUGGGGAUAGUACCUGCCUCUAGUUUAGACUUUAUGCUUAUAAGCAGGGGUGAUAUUUAAAUAUUUAACCAUCAGUACAACCAGGUACAACUCAGUCUGACAGAAACAACCAGCUGAGGGAAAUCUUUUUGGGGGGUUAAGUGCCCUCAACUAGAGUGAAGGAAAGCACUAAAGCAGGAAAAUCCGGCUACUACUAGAAAUGGUAGGUCCUGAUGUCUUCUAGGAUUUUGUCCAUAUCUGCUCUGUAAGAAUCCAUGCCACACCCAAAGCAACGAAUUUUGUCUUCCUACAUAUGUUGUUCUGUGACUGGCCUCAGUGUCACCAGAGAGAAAACUGAACUGGAAAGGAAGGGAGGGGACAUGCUAAGUGUUUUACGUGUUCUCCCUUUGAUCCUCACCCAAUUUGGGGAGUGAAGGCAUCAUUAGAUGCGUUUUAUUACCGCGGAAACAGGCUUUGGUUGUUGCUGAUUCCUGAACAGGUGGUGAGAGCCUUUCUAGGAUAGGUCCCUAUUGUUCUGAAGCAUGCUCAUUUCUGUCACUGCAGGGUUCCAGAAUCAUCCUCAUCUUCAGUUUGUUUGUUUAUUUAUUUAAUUUAUUUUUUAAGAGAGAGAGAGUGUGAGCA